AGAGUUUGAUCCUGGCUCAGGAUGAACGCUGGCGGCGUGCUUAACACAUGCAAGUCGAACGAACCUUCGGGUUAGUGGCGGACGGGUGAGUAACGCGUGAGAAUCUGCCCUCAGGAGGGGGAUAACAGUUGGAAACGACUGCUAAUACCCCAUAUGCCGAGAGGUGAAAUGAAUUUCGCCUGGGGAUGAGCUCGCGUCUGAUUAGCUUGUUGGUGGGGUAAUAGCCUACCAAGGCUUCGAUCAGUAGCUGGUCUGAGAGGACGAUCAGCCACACUGGGACUGAGACACGGCCCAGACUCCUACGGGAGGCAGCAGUGGGGAAUUUUCCGCAAUGGGCGAAAGCCUGACGGAGCAACGCCGCGUGAGGGAUGGAGGCCUUUGGGCUGUAAACCUCUUUUCUCAAGGAAGAAGAUCUGACGGUACUUGAGGAAUAAGCCACGGCUAAUUCCGUGCCAGCAGCCGCGGUAAUACGGGUGUGGCAAGCGUUAUCCGGAAUUAUUGGGCGUAAAGCGUCCGCAGGCGGCCGUUUAAGUCUGUUGUUAAAUCGUGGAGCUCAACUCCAUCACGGCAAUGGAAACUGUUCGGCUUGAGUAUGGUAGGGGCAGAGGGAAUUUCCGGUGUAGCGGUGAAAUGCGUAGAUAUCGGGAAGAACACCAGUGGCGAAAGCGCUCUGCUGGGCCAUUACUGACGCUCAUGGACGAAAGCCAGGGGAGCGAAAGGGAUUAGAUACCCCUGUAGUCCUGGCCGUAAACGAUGAACACUAGAUGUUGGGGGAAUCGACCCCCUCGGUGUCGUAGCUAACGCGUUAAGUGUUCCGCCUGGGGAGUACGCACGCAAGUGUGAAACUCAAAGGAAUUGACGGGGGCCCGCACAAGCGGUGGAGUAUGUGGUUUAAUUCGAUGCAACGCGAAGAACCUUACCAAGGCUUGACAUCCUGCGAAUCUCUAAGAAAUUAGAGAGUGCCUUCGGGAACGCAGUGACAGGUGGUGCAUGGCUGUCGUCAGCUCGUGUCGUGAGAUGUUGGGUUAAGUCCCGCAACGAGCGCAACCCACGUUUUUAGUUGCCAGCAUUCAGUUGGGCACUCUAGAAAGACUGCCGGUGACAAACCGGAGGAAGGUGUGGACGACGUCAAGUCAUCAUGCCCCUUACGCCUUGGGCUACACACGUACUACAAUGCUGCGGACAAAGAGUAGCGAUCUUGCGAAAGUUAGCUAAUCUCAUAAACCGUGGCUCAGUUCAGAUCGUAGGCUGCAACUCGCCUACGUGAAGGAGGAAUCGCUAGUAAUCGCAGGUCAGCAUACUGCGGUGAAUACGUUCCCGGGCCUUGUACACACCGCCCGUCACACCAUGGAAGUUGGCCAUGCCCGAAGUCGUUACUCUAACCUUUUGGAAGAGGGCGCCGAAGGCAGGGCUAAUGACUGGGGUGAAGUCGUAACAAGGUAACC
rnacentral:rRNA from 1 species